rnacentral:rRNA from 1 species
CAGCAGUCGCCGCGGGAAUACGUAGGGUGCAAGCGUUAAUCGGAAUUACUGGGCGUAAAGCGUGCGCAGGCGGUUAUAUAAGACAGAUGUGAAAUCCCCGGGCUCAACCUGGGAACUGCAUUUGUGACUGUAUAGCUAGAGUACGGCAGAGGGGGAUGGAAUUCCGCGUGUAGCAGUGAAAUGCGUAGAUAUGCGGAGGAACACCGAUGGCGAAGGCAAUCCCCUGGGCCUGUACUGACGCUCAUGCACGAAAGCGUGGGGAGCAAACAGGAUUAGAUACCCGAGUAGUCCCUGUCUCUUAUAC